rnacentral:rRNA from 1 species
AGUCGAACGGUAACGUGGGGAGGAGCUUGCUCCACCCUGACGACGAGUGGCGAACGGGUGAGUAAUACAUCGGAACGUGUCCGCUCGUGGGGGACAACCAGCCGAAAGGUUGGCUAAUACCGCAUGAGUUCUACGGAAGAAAGAGGGGGACCCGCAAGGGCCUCUCGCGAGCGGAGCGGCCGAUGACUGAUUAGCCAGUUGGUGAGGUAACGGCUCACCAAAGCAACGAUCAGUAGCUGGUCUGAGAGGACGACCAGCCACACUGGGACUGAGACACGGCCCAGACUCCUACGGGAGGCAGCAGUGGGGAAUUUUGGACAAUGGGCGCAAGCCUGAUCCAGCUAUUCCGCGUGUGGGAUGAAGGCCCUCGGGUUGUAAACCACUUUUGUAGAGAACGAAAAGACAUCUUCGAAUAAAGGAUGUUGCUGACGGUACUCUAAGAAUAAGCACCGGCUAACUACGUGCCAGCAGCCGCGGUAAUACGUAGGGUGCGAGCGUUAAUCGGAAUUACUGGGCGUAAAGGGUGCGCAGGCGGUUGAGUAAGACAGAUGUGAAAUCCCC